GAUGAACGCUGGCGGCGUGCUUAACACAUGCAAGUCGAACGGAAAGGCUCCUGCUUGCAGGGGUACUCGAGUGGCGAACGGGUGAGUAACACGUGGGUGAUCUGCCCUGCACUUCGGGGUAAGCCUGGGAAACUGGGUCUAAUACCGGAUAGGACGAUGGUUUGGAUGCCAUUGUGGAAAGUUUUUUCGGUGUGGGAUGAGCUCGCGGCCUAUCAGCUUGUUGGUGGGGUAAUGGCCUACCAAGGCGUCGACGGGUAGCCGGCCUGAGAGGGUGUACGGCCACAUUGGGACUGAGAUACGGCCCAGACUCCUACGGGAGGCAGCAGUGGGGAAUAUUGCACAAUGGGCGCAAGCCUGAUGCAGCGACGCCGCGUGGGGGAUGACGGCCUUCGGGUUGUAAACUCCUUUCGCUAGGGACGAAGCGCAAGUGACGGUACCUGGAGAAGAAGCACCGGCUAACUACGUG
rnacentral:rRNA from 1 species